rnacentral:rRNA from 1 species
GACGAACGCUGGCGGCGUGCCUAAUACAUGCAAGUCGAGCGGAACUGGGGGGAGCUUGCUCCUUCCAGUUUAGCGGCGGACGGGUGAGUAACACGUGGGCAACCUGCCCUGCAGAUCGGGAUAACUCCGGGAAACCGGUGCUAAUACCGAAUAGUUUGGCGCCUCUCCUGAGGCGCUACGGAAAGACGGUUUCGGCUGUCACUGCAGGCUGGGCCCGCGGCGCAUUAGCUAGUUGGUGGGGUAACGGCCCACCAAGGCGACGAUGCGUAGCCGACCUGAGAGGGUGACCGGCCACACUGGGACUGAGACACGGCCCAGACUCCUACGGGAGGCAGCAGUAGGGAAUCUUCCGCAAUGGACGCAAGUCUGACGGAGCAACGCCGCGUGAGUGACGAAGGUUUUCGGAUCGUAAAACUCUGUUGUGAGGGAAGAACACGUACCAACUAACUAUUGGUACCUUGACGGUACCUCACCAGAAAGCCACGGCUAACUACGUGCCAGCCGCCGCCGUAA